rnacentral:misc_RNA from 1 species
GAUGACGACCAUGCCUGGUUUGCCUACACGUCCUUGCUUCUACGACAUCGACAUUGAUCCCGAAACAGAGGAGAUUGUCGGCCUUUCAUAAUGGAGUCAGAAACAGCUCAGUGGUGCUAUUGCUUGGCUGAGAUGAAAUACAUGACAAGUGAAUGUUUUCAAUGAUUUUAUGAUUUAUCUGUAAUGCUCGUCGACAUAUGAUUUGUACCUAAUGAAACCGUAUAAACCUCAUAACUAGUACAUAGUCAUCAUCAAAAUUGGUCUCAACUGCGUGAACUGAAGUGCAUGUAUUGAGAUAAUUAUUUCAUAAAUAUUGAACAUUCCAGAGAUGUCAUCAACAAAAUCAUCAAUAUAAUCAGUGCUAGGGGUAUUAAGUGGGUUUUUUUUACUGGUGCCAAAGUGUGAUUGUCAUUUAUUAAAAUCAAUCCUGAAUCAAAUUUUGAAAUAAACAUUGUCUU